UUCCUUCUCUUUAAUGUUGUUAAAGAGUUAUUGGUUCACCAUAUACUAGGCUUUGAAAGUCAUGGGUUUUAUGAAUUGUUUUUUAAUGCAUGCCUACUUUAAUGUGUUAAUAGUUUGCAUAUGUAUUCAAAUGUUCUUACUUGUUCUUAGCUAGGACAAAAUUUUUCCUUCAUAUAGUGACCUAUACGACACCACAUAUGCUAGCUCAUAAGUCGGGAGUCACCUCUAGUGACAUGUACGACUUAUCCAUAUCUCAUCACAUAUGAUAGCUCGUAAGUCGGGAGUCACCUCUAGUAACCUGUACAACUUAUCCAUAUCUCAUCACAUAUGCUAGCUCAUAAGUCGGGAGUCACCUAUAGUGACCUGUACGACAUCACAUAUGCUAGCUCAUAAGUCGGGAGUCACCUCUAGUGACUUGUAUGACUUAUCCAUAUCUCAUCACAUACGUUAGCUCAUAAGUCGAGAGUCACCUAUAGCAACCUGUACGACUUAUCCAUAUCUCAAUAAGUAUACCUACAUACGAGUCGGAACCACCUAAAGUGGUCUGUAUGAUAGGACUGGGUGUAAAUAAAUACGCUCAAGUGCUACGAUCACAUGAAGGCUAUGUGAAUAAUAGCGGAUCACCUACGAGUCGGAACCACCUAUAGUGGUUUGUACGACAGGACUAUGCACCUACCUUGGAUUCAAGGUGAGCGUAAGGUGCGAGAGGUGAACAUCACGUGAAGGACUGUGCCCUGGCCACAGAUGGGAGCACUAACACCGGGGUGCAGGUUUAUGAGCUCUCAAUGUAUCUCAACAUAACAUGUACGAUUCAUUGGCAACUUGUACGACAGUGUCGGAGUUGCUUAAAACAUGCAUGUAGUCAUGCCAUAACUUCAUGAUUUCAACUAAUACCAUAAACUUACCCACACUUACUUGGGUGUCCUGCGUUCACCUUUGCACUUUAAGCGUUCACAAUAAUUAUGUGCGGGUAAAAUACAUAUAGAUAAACCAUGAUGCAAUCUAACACUCACCCAUGACAUAGCAUCAUCAAUUAUAUACAUGUAUAUAUUUAUGGCGUAAAAUGCACAAUCUAUAACGCCCUAUUCCCGAACUAUUUAUUUUUGGAAAUAAUUAUCGGUGAUAAGCCCCACUAAACCCUAAUUUAAUUAACCAACGCUACUUACGUGUCCUUACUUUAAUUCCUUGAUUCCUCACAUGUUGAUUUAUGACCAACCUUUAAUCACUAAAAACAUAAGGUUAAAUCUCAUAUUUUCACCAAUUUCCUUCACAUUGCUCAAUUCCCAAACAAGGUUUUUGUUUCAAAUAUUGUAUGGAUGCAUCUAACGUCUCGUUAGCCUGCCUAUGUACCCUAAAUAGGGAUUAAGCCAUUCGUAGUUCGCAUUAGUUCAUUUAAAUCAUUCACAUUAAUCAUAAGCAAUAAUCGAUUUAUAAACAUUUAUGGAAUUGUCUAUCAUAUAUAUAUAUAUAUAAUACACGAUAAAAUAGAAUAGACCCAUUCACCUAAGGUCCAUGCCACGACUCCCUAGCACGCAUAUCGAGACAUCACAAACCAUCGUCGCCUAUGACCAAUUAUCAAAUCAUAUCUCAGAGUUAUGGCCGAUAAAUUACAUAAUUUACAUACAACGCAUCUUUACGUAACUCAAUUCGGAAGAUCUGCAUCACAGAUUCCCUAUCCGUUGCUUCCAAAGAUUCACAGUAUACUUCUAGAACAACAUCCUAAGGUUUCUUUACGUUCCAAUGGUCGGAUCUCCGCCAAUUGCCCAAAAUCAAGUGGCGGUCAACAUUUUAUUUUAUGAACUUACAAAUCUAAUUCAGGAAGAUCCGUACAUUGGAUUCCCGAUCCGUAAGUUUCUAUGGUUCUCAAAUAUUACGUACUAUAACGAUCUAA
rnacentral:lncRNA from 1 species